CCUACGGGUGGCAGCAGUGAGGAAUAUUGGUCAAUGGACGGAAGUCUGAACCAGCCAUGCCGCGUGCAGGAUGACGGCUCUAUGAGUUGUAAACUGCUUUUGUAUUAGGGUAAACCCCCCUACGUGUAGGGGCUUGAAAGUAUAAUACGAAUAAGGAUCGGCUAACACCGUGCCAGCAGCCGCGGUAAUACGGUGGAUCCCAGCGUUAUCCGGAUUUAAUUGGUUUAAAGGGGGCCGAGGCGGUGAGGUAAGUCAGCUGGGAAAUGCCCCCGCUCAACGGGGUGAAGUGCCAUUGAUACUGCCAUGCUGGAAUGCGGAUGCCGUGGGAGGAAUGUGUGGUGUAGCGGUGAAAUGCAUAGAGAUCACACAGAACACCGAUUGCGAAGGCAUCUCACGAAGCCGCGAUUGACGCUGAUGCACGAAAGCGUGGGUAUCAAACAGGAUUAGAUACCCCUGUAGUC
rnacentral:rRNA from 1 species